UACGUAGGGUGCGAGCGUUGUUCGGAAUUACUGGGCGUAAAGCGUGCGUAGGCGGUUCGUUAAGUCUGUUGUGAAAGCCCCGGGCUCAACCUGGGAAUGGCAAUGGAUACUGGCGAGCUAGAGUGUGUCAGAGGAUGGUGGAAUUCCCGGUGUAGCGGUGAAAUGCGUAGAGAUCGGGAGGAACAUCAGUGGCGAAGGCGGCCAUCUGGGACAACACUGACGCUGAGGCACGAAAGCGUGGGGAGCAAACAGG
rnacentral:rRNA from 1 species